GUGACAGCAGCCGCGGUAAAACGUAGGUGGCGAGCGUUAUCCGGAUUUACUGGGCGUAAAGCGCGUGCAGGCGGUCGGGCAAGUCGGGCAUUAAAUCUCUGGGCUUAACUCAGAGGCGCUGUCCGAUACUGUUCGGCUUGAGGAUGGUAGAGGGCGAUGGAAUUCCGCGUGUAGUGGUGAAAUGCGUAGAUAUGCGGAGGAACACCAGUGGCGAAAGCGGUCGCCUGGACCAAACCUGACGCUAAAGCGCGAAAGCGUGGGGAGCAAACAGGAUUAGAAACCCUCGUAGUCC
rnacentral:rRNA from 1 species